ACGGAGGGUGCAAGCGUUAUCCGGAUUCACUGGGUUUAAAGGGAGCGUAGGCGGGCAUUUAAGUCCGUGGUGAAAGCCCUCAGCUCAACUGAGGAACUGCCAUGGAUACUAUUUGUCUUGAAUGUCGUUGAGGUUUGCGGAAUGGGUCAUGUAGCGGUGAAAUGCUUAGAUAUGACCCGGAACACCAAUUGCGAAGGCAGCAGGCUAAACGAAUAUUGACGCUGAGGCUCGAAAGCGUGGGGAUCAAACAGGAUUAGAUACCCUGGUAGUCCACGCCCUAAACGAUGAUUACUCGACAUACGUGAUAUGACAAUGUGUGUCUGAGCGAAAGCAUUAAGUAAUCCACCUGGGAAGUACGACCGCAAGGUUG
rnacentral:rRNA from 1 species